rnacentral:misc_RNA from 1 species
GCUUCAGUAACAGAUUAAAUCAGGCGAGACACUGCAGAACUGGUUCUACAUAACCUGGAUUAUGUACUAGAAGCAGCCAAAAUCUUGAAGGGAACCUCAAGUUUAAAAUUGGCUAAAGAGCUGACUUAAAUGAAGCUAUUUGCAAUAAUAAUGUGAUAAUUUGAGAGGUCUAACCUUAUUUUCAUUUGUGCCUCCAAGCGUAGGACGACCAUAAUGCACUAUGUACUCAG